GAGGGUAUAGCUCAAAGUGGUAGAGUGCAUGCUUAGCAUGCAGGAGGUCCUGGGUUCAAUCCCCAGGACCUCCC
rnacentral:tRNA from 1 species